UCCCCCUGGAAGUGGACAAAGAGACACCAUAUUGGUUGAGUUGUUCUUGUAUCAGUCAGGGAAGAGCAGAAGGCAGCCCUUUGUUCAUCCUAGCUUGAUUCCUGGCUUGGGGGGCAAAGCUAUUUUAUGCCUAGGACUCAUAA